rnacentral:lncRNA from 1 species
CGGGCGGCCUAAGCGUGCACCGGGGAAUUCCACCCACUGAGCUGCGAGCGUGCGGAGGGCGUGUCGCGUUCUUUGGGGGCGCCCGACGUUUGUCCUCCAUGAGGAUGCUCCAAUGCUACCUGGCUCGCUUGCACAGGUGAGGUGGAUGACAGCAAGGCGGCGGAACACAGGCCCAGGGGACCUGGCAGGGCGGUGUGUUCGGCGCGGGCCGCGACCCUCAGGCCCGGCUCGGGCGCCUCCAGCCCUCCGGGGCGACCGAAGGUCAGGGACGGAAGGGGUGCGGCGGGGGGUCCUGCCGCGUCCCCGCACCCUCCCGCCAGCCGUCGAAGCGGCAGGUGUCCCCUCGUCCUACCUCGGCUGGCACCGCGGCCCCCGCUUUCAGGUGAAGGAAGGCGGCUCCUCUUCGACUGCGCGGCGGGUCUCCUCCUUCCCCGUACCGGGACGCCCGAAAGCAGCCGCUCUCUGCCUCAGGUCUGCCACCAGCCCGGUUCCCGCGAACCGGAGGGAGGGGAGCCGCUCCAGGAAGUGACGUCACACCACGUCGCCGCCCCCGAAGGCUCGCGCUACAGUUGUUGGUCCCUAUCUCUGCAGCAGCCAGAACAAAUCUAAUUUCCUCGAGGGGAAUCGAUGGUUUUGUUCCACAGACUUUACUAUUAAAAGUGACUUCCUGAGAAAUGGAGCUACGAUAUCGAGUUUGCCAAGUAGGCGACACAAAGACUUCAAUUCCCAGGAGGCACUGUGGGUAUCCUAGGUUCAGGCUCGAGCUUUGCAUCAUGGGAUUUGUAGUUAUCACUGGCUUGGGGUUCUCUCAAAGGGUUGCCUUCCAGAUCACUGGUCCUUAGGAAGGA